rnacentral:rRNA from 1 species
AGUGAACGCUGGCGGUAGGCCUAACACAUGCAAGUCGAACGGCAGCACAGUAAGAGCUUGCUCUUACGGGUGGCGAGUGGCGGACGGGUGAGGAAUACAUCGGAAUCUACUUUUUCGUGGGGGAUCACGUAGGGAAACUUACGCUAAUACCGCAUACGACCUACGGGUGAAAGCAGGGGAUCUUCGGACCUUGCGCGAUUGAAUGAGCCGAUGUCGGAUUGGCUAGUUGGCGGGGUAAUGGCCCACCAAGGCGACGAUCCGUAGCUGGUCUGAGUGGAUGAUCAGCCACACUGGAACUGAGACACGGUCCAGACUCCUACGGGAGGCAGCAGUGGGGAAUAUUGGACAAUGGGCGCAAGCCUGAUCCAGCCAUACCGCGUGGGUGAAGAAGGCCUUCGGGUUGUAAAGCCCUUUUGUUGGGAAAGAAAAGCAGCAGGUUAAUACCCAGCUGUACUGACGGUACCCAAAGAAGAAGCACCGGCUAACUUCGUG